GUGCCAGCCGCCGCGGUAAUACGGAGGGUGCGAGCGUUAAUCGGAAUUACUGGGCGUAAAGCGCGCGUAGGCGGCCUGAUAAGUUGGAUGUGAAAGCCCCGGGCUCAACCUGGGAACUGCGUUCAAAACUGUCAGGCUAGAGUAUGGUAGAGGAUAGUGGAAUUUCCGGUGUAGCGGUGAAAUGCGUAGAGAUCGGAAGGAACAUCAGUGGCGAAGGCGGCUAUCUGGACCAAUACUGACGCUGAGGUGCGAAAGCGUGGGGAGCAAACAGGAUUAGAAACCCCAGUAGUCC
rnacentral:rRNA from 1 species